UGGCGGACGGGUGAGUAAUGUCUGGGAAACUGCCUGAUGAGGGGGAUAACUACUGGAAACGGUAGCUAAUACCGCAUAACGUCGCAAGACCAAAGAGGGGGACCUUCGGGCCUCUUGCCAUCGGAUGUGCCCAGAUGGGAUUAGCUAGUAGGUGGGGUAACGGCUCACCUAGGCGACGAUCCCUAGCUGGUCUGAGAGGAUGACCAGCCACACUGGAACUGAGACACGGUCCAG
rnacentral:rRNA from 1 species